GGCACGGUGGUGCAGUGGAUAGCACUGUUGCCUCACAGCAAGAAGGUCCUGGGUUCAAAUCCAGCCUGGGCCG
rnacentral:tRNA from 1 species